UGAAGUGGCAUUUUUGUAAUUAUAAUGACAUAUCACUCUCUCUAUAAAAAUUGACAGACGCUCCAAAUUAUUCAUACAAGAGACAGAGAGAGAUGGCAUCUGGUAGAAGUAUGAUCGACGGUAGAGGUUACUCGCCGAGAAAUCACGGCCGUCUGAUCCCCAAAAGGGGCCAGGUGAAGAUGGGGAUCGUCUUGGGCGUGGCCCACUUUUUGGCUUCGAUAGUUUCAGGCAGAGUAAGAUGCGGAGGUGCACGGUUGUUUACGUAGACUAGACCCGCCACCACGUUACCACCGCAACCUAAGCCCUAAUUUUUUUUGGGAAACUAGGAAUCAGAAGAGGAAACUAAUUUUAUGGUCUUCUUUUUUUGUUUGUGGGUUUAAAUUUUAUAUGUUAAUUAUUAUGAAUUAUAGUGGUGUAUUGUAUAUAGAAAAGUUUUAAUUUAUAAUUUAAUUUUUUUGGGUUGUUCUUCAAUUAUAAAAUAUUAAGUAACAAUAUAUUUUAACUCAUCGAACAAACUAUUUUUAAUUUGUCAUUAAUAAUUAAUAAUUAAUAAUGUCAAUUUAUAGAAUUAAUUAAUAAAUUUGCCUAGUUAAUGGGUGACUGAGCUUCACACAUGGAAUUAGUCAAGGCUAAAAACUAAUAUAUAUAUAUAUAUAUAUGUACAUGUAUGUAUUCAACAAUAAAGUAGAAAGAGAAAUGCAACUCGGUCACGUUACUAAAUUGCCAAUUAACGAAUCGACCGACUCAUGAUUGAUGGUAUCGCCAAACCCGGCAGCAUAAAACAG
rnacentral:lncRNA from 1 species